GACAGAGGGGCAAGCGUUGCUCGGAAUUACUGGGCGUAAAGGGCGCGUAGGCGGGAGUGGCAAGUCGGUCGUGAAAUCCCUCGCUCAACCGAGGACUGCGCCGAAUACUGCGUGUGCUAGAGGAAGAUAGGGGUAAGCGGAACUGAUGGUGGAGCGGUAGAAAUGCGUUGAUAUCAGUCAGGAACACCGGUGGCGAAGGCGGCUUUACUGGAUCUUUCUGACGCUGAUGCACGAAAGCUAGGGGAGCGAACGGG
rnacentral:rRNA from 1 species